CCUACGGGUGGCAGCAGUGAGGAAUAUUGGUCAAUGGGCGCGAGCCUGAACCAGCCAAGUCGCGUGAGGGAAGACGGUCCUAUGGAUUGUAAACCUCUUUUGUCGGGGAGCAAAAGACGCCACGCGUGGCGUUCCGAGAGUACCCGAAGAAAAAGCAUCGGCUAACUCCGUGCCAGCAGCCGCGGUAAUACGGAGGAUGCGAGCGUUAUCCGGACUUAUUGGGUUUAAAGGGUGCGCAGGCGGAAGAUCAAGUCAGCGGUAAAAUUGAGAGGCUCAACCUCUUCGAGCCGUUGAAACUGGUGUUCUUGAGUGAGUUAGAAGUAUGCGGAAUGCGUGGUGUAGCGGUGAAAUGCAUAGAUAUCACGCAGAACUCCGAGUGCGAAGGCAGCAUACCGGCGCUCAACUGACGCUCAUGCACGAAAGUGUGGGUAUCGAACAGGAUUAGAUACCCGGGUAGUC
rnacentral:rRNA from 1 species